UUAACUAUUGUAUAGUACUCAGACGACACUGACGUUCAGGGUUUGGGGUCCUCUGGCGGGCGCGUACCAGCCGGGGCCGGUAGCCGAGGGCGGCCCGCCAAAGCAACAAAGGUAGCAAUAACACAGGGUGGGAGAUCUACCCGCGAGGGCACGAACUCUGUAAUGAUCCCUCCGCAGGUUCACCUACGGAGA
rnacentral:misc_RNA from 1 species